UACGUAGGGGGCAAGCGUUGUUCGGAAUUACUGGGCGUAAAGGGCGCGUAGGCGGCACGGCAAGUCAGGAGUGAAAGCCCGGGGCUCAACCCCGGAAUGUCUUUUGAAACUGCCGAGCUAGAGUGCGGAAGAGGCAACUGGAAUUCCCAGUGUAGCGGUGAAAUGCGUAGAUAUUGGGAAGAACACCUGAGGCGAAGGCGGGUUGCUGGGCCGACACUGACGCUGAUGCGCGAAAGCUAGGGGAGCAAACGGG
rnacentral:rRNA from 1 species